rnacentral:rRNA from 1 species
CUCGGAUCAGGUAGGGAUACCCGCUGAACUUAAGCAUAUCAAUAAGCGGAGGAAAAGAAACCAACAGGGAUUGCCCUAGUAACGGCGAGUGAAGCGGCAACAGCUCAAAUUUGAAAUCUGGCUCUUUCAGAGUCCGAGUUGUAAUUUGCAGAGGGCGCUUUGGCGUUGGCAGCGGUCCAAGUUCUUUGGAACAGGACGUCACAGAGGUGAGAAUCCCGUACGUGGUCGCUAGCCCUUCGCCGUGUAA